rnacentral:misc_RNA from 1 species
GUGAAUCAUCAAAUCUUUGAACGCAAAUUGCACUCCCUGGUGUUCCGGGGAGUAUGCCUGUUUGAGGGUCGGUAGAACAAAAAUCGAAGCGUCGCUCGUUUUUUAAUGGUGAUCGCGGCGGGAUGGAGCCGCCUUGCAUGUGUUAAUUCAUGUCAAAGGGGCGUAAAAUUCAGCCAUUCGAUACUGUUAAAGCGUAUUUAAGAUCAAUUUUGAUUAAGAACGCGCGAUGACGUACCAUCUCAUGUAGUACGUUUGACCUGGUGCAUCAGGUUCAUUCGUAUACGAUACUCAAACUUUUGA